rnacentral:tRNA from 1 species
GCGGUAGUGGUGUAGAGGUAGCACAAAGGCUUCCCAAGCCUUUAACCCGGGUUCGAGUCCCGGCUACCGCA